rnacentral:rRNA from 1 species
GACGUAGGUGGCGAACGUUAUCCGGAAUUAUUGGGCGUAAAGGGUGCGUAGGCGGCAUGAUAAGUUAUUGGCGGCAAAUCGAGGCUCAACCUCGUGGAAACUGAUAAUACUGUCUUGCUUGAGUGCAGAAGAGGUUAACGGAACUCCAUGUGGAGCGGUAAAAUGUGUAGAUAUAUGGAAGAACAUCAAUAACGGCGAAGGCAGUUAACUAUUCUGUUACUGACGUUUGAGGCACGAAAGCGUGGGGAGCAAAAAGG